rnacentral:rRNA from 1 species
UACCAGCACCCCGAGUGGUCGGGACGUUUAUUGGGCCUAAAGCAUCCGUAGCCGGUUCUACAAGUCUUCCGUUAAAUCCACCUGCUUAACAGAUGGGCUGCGGAAGAUACUAUAGAGCUAGGAGGCGGGAGAGGCAAGCGGUACUUAGUGGGUAGGGGUAAAAUCCGUUGAUCCAUAGAAGACCACCAGUGGCGAAGGCGGCUUGCCAGAACGCGCUCGACGGUGAGGGAUGAAAGCUGGGGGGAGCAAACCGG